rnacentral:rRNA from 1 species
UACGUAGGGGGCUAGCGUUGUCCGGAAUCAUUGGGCGUAAAGCGCGUGUAGGCGGUCCGGUAAGUCCGCUGUGAAAGUCGGGGGCUCAACCCUCGGAUGCCGGUGGAUACUGUCGGGCUUGAGUACGGAAGAGGCGAGUGGAAUUCCUGGUGUAGCGGUGAAAUGCGCAGAUAUCAGGAGGAACACCGGUGGCGAAGGCGGCAUCCUGGACCGGCAUUGACGCUGAGGCGCGAAAGCCAGGGGAGCAAACGGG